rnacentral:rRNA from 1 species
UACGUAGGGUGCAGGCGUUAAUCGGAAUUACUGGGCGUAAAGCGCACGCAGGCGGUCGAUUAAGUUUGGAGUGACAGUUGGUGGCUUAACUGCCAAAGUGCUUUGAAAACUGAUCGACUUGAGGGCUUCAGAGGGACACGGAAUUCCGGGUGGAGUGGUGAAAUGCGUAGAGAUCCGGAGGAACACCGAAGGCGAAGGCAGUGUCCUGGGGAGUACCUGACGCUCAGGUGCGAAAGCCAGGGGAGCGAACGGG